rnacentral:rRNA from 1 species
UGCCAGCCGCCGCGGUAACACGGGGGGCGCAAGCGUUAUUCGGAAUUAUUGGGCGUAAAGCGCACGUAGGCGGUCCGCUAAGUCAGAUGUGAAAUCCCUCGGCUCAACCGAGGAACUGCACCUGAUACUGGCGGACUCGAGGACGGUAGGGGUGAGUGGAACUCCAGGUGGAGCGGUGAAAUGCGUAGAUAUCUGGAGGAACACCGGUGGCGAAGGCGACUCACUGGACCGUAUCUGACGCUGAGGUGCGAAAGCUAGGGUAGCAAACGGGAUUAGAUA